rnacentral:rRNA from 1 species
UACGUAGGGGGCAAGCGUUGUCCGGAUUUAUUGGGCGUAAAGAGCGUGUAGGCGGCUUUGCAAGUCCGUUGUGAAAACUCGAGGCUCAACCUCGAGACGCCGGUGGAAACUGCAAAGCUAGAGUCCGGAAGAGGAGAGUGGAAUUCCUGGUGUAGCGGUGAAAUGCGCAGAUAUCAGGAAGAACACCCGUGGCGAAGGCAGCUCGCUGGGACGUUACUGACGCUGAGACGCGAAAGCGUGGGGAGCAAACAGG